rnacentral:rRNA from 1 species
AGUGAACGCUGGCGGUAGGCCUAACACAUGCAAGUCGAACGGCAGCACCGUAAGAGCUUGCUCUUACGGGUGGCGAGUGGCGGACGGGUGAGGAAUACAUCGGAAUCUACUUUUUCGUGGGGGAUAACGUAGGGAAACUUACGCUAAUACCGCAUACGACCUACGGGUGAAAGCAGGGGAUCUUCGGACCUUGCGCGAUUGAAUGAGCCGAUGUCGGAUUAGCUAGUUGGCGGGGUAAAGGCCCACCAAGGCGACGAUCCGUAGCUGGUCUGAGAGGAUGAUCAGCCACACUGGAACUGAGACACGGUCCAGACUCCUACGGGAGGAAGCAUUGGGGAAUAUUGGACAAUGGGCGCAAGCCUGAUCCAGCCAUACCGCGUGGGUGAAGAAGGCCUUCGGGUUGUAAAGCCCUUUUGUUGGGAAAGAAAAGCAGCAGGUUAAUACCCCGCUGUUCUGACGGUACCCAAAGAAUAAGCACCGGCUAACUUCGUG